GAUGAACGCUAGCUACAGGCUUAACACAUGCAAGUCGAGGGGUAACGAGAGGGAAGCUUGCUUUCCUUGUCGACGACCGGCGCACGGGUGAGUAACGCGUAUCCAACCUGCCCCCAACUAGGGAAUAACCUUGCGAAAGUAAGACUAAUACCCUAUAAUCUCCUCAGAUGUCAUCUGACGAGGAAUAAAGAUUUAUCGGUUGUGGAUGGGGAUGCGUCUGAUUAGCUUGUUGGCGGGGUAACGGCCCACCAAGGCAACGAUCAGUAGGGGUUCUGCGAGGAAGGUCCCCCACAAUGGAACUGAGACACGGUACAAACUCCUACGGGAGGCAGCAGUGAGGAAUAUUGGUCAAUGGGCGGAAGCCUGAACCAGCCAAGUAGCGUGCAGGAUGACGGCCCUAUGGGUUGUAAACUGCUUUUAUACAGGAAUAAAGUUAGCCACGUGUGGUUAUUUGUAGGUACUGUAUGAAUAAGGACCGGCUAAUUCCGUGCCAGCCGCCGCCGUAA
rnacentral:rRNA from 1 species